UUCCGGUUGAUCCUGCCGGACCCGACUGCUAUCAGAGUGGGACUAAGCCAUGCGAGUCAACAUAGCAAUAUGUGGCAUACGGCUCAGUAACACGUAGUCAACAUGCCCAGGGGACGUGGAUAACCUCGGGAAACUGAGGAUAAACCGCGAUAGGUCAUCACUUCUGGAAUGGGUAAUGACUUAAACCUAUAUGGCCCCUGGAUUGGACUGCGGCCGAUCAGGCUGUUGGUGAGGUAAUGGCCCACCAAACCUGUAACCGGUACGGGCUCUGAGAGGAGGAGCCCGGAGAUGGGCACUGAGACAAGGGCCCAGGCCCUAUGGGGCGCAGCAGGCGCGAAACCUCUGCAAUAGGCGAAAGCUUGACAGGGUUACUCUGAGUGAUUUCCGUUAAGGAGAUCUUUUGGCACCUCUAAAAAUGGUGCAGAAUAAGGGGUGGGCAAGUCUGGUGUCAGCCGCCGCGGUAAUACCAGCACCCCGAGUGGUCGGGACGUUUAUUGGGCCUAAAGCAUCCGUAGCCGGUUCUACAAGUCUUCCGUUAAAUCCACCUGCUUAACAGAUGGGCUGCGGAAGAUACUAUAGAGCUAGGAGGCGGGAGAGGCAAGCGGUACUCGAUGGGUAGGGGUAAAAUCCGUUGAUCCAUUGAAGACCACCAGUGGCGAAGGCGGCUUGCCAGAACGCGCUCGACGGUGAGGGAUGAAAGCUGGGGGAGCAAACCGGAUUAGAUACCCGGGUAGUCCCAGCUGUAAACGAUGCAGACUCGGUGAUGAGUUGGCUUAUUGCUAACUCAGUGCCGCAGGGAAGCCGUUAAGUUUGCCGCCUGGGGAGUACGGUCGCAAGACUGAAACUUAAAGGAAUUGGCGGGGGAGCACCACAAGGGGUGAAGCCUGCGGUUCAAUUGGAUUCAACGCCGGG
rnacentral:rRNA from 1 species